rnacentral:rRNA from 1 species
GACAACGGCUGGCGGCGUGCUUAAAACAUGCAAGUCGAACGGACUUCUCAUGAAGCUUGCGAUUGAGAAGUUAGUGGCGGACGGGUGAGUAACGCGUGGGCAACCUGCCCCUGAGCCCGGGAUAACAGUUCGAAAGGACUGCUAAGACCGGAUAUACUUGCGGGGAAGCAUUUCACUGCAAGGAAAGGGAACGCUCAGGGAUGGGCCCGCGUCCCAUUAGCUAGUUGGUGAGGUAACGGCCCACCAAGGCGACGAUGGGUAGCCGGCCUGAGAGGGUGAACGGCCACACUGGGACUGAGACACGGCCCAGACUCCUACGGGAGGCAGCAGUUGGGAAUCUUCGGCAAUGGGCGCAAGCCUGACCGAGCAACGCCGCGUGAGUGAUGAAGGUUUUCGGAUUGUAAAGCUCUGUCUUCCGGGACGAUAAUGACGGUACCGGAGGAGGAAGCCACGGCUAACUACGUG